rnacentral:rRNA from 1 species
ACCCGCUGAACUUAAGCAUAUCAAUAAGCGGAGGAAAAGAAACCAACAGGGAUUGCCUUAGUAACGGCGAGUGAAGCGGCAACAGCUCAAAUUUGAAAUCUGGCCUCUUUGGGGUCCGAGUUGUAAUUUGCAGAGGGCGCUUUGGCGUUGGCAGCGGUCCAAGUUCCUUGGAACAGGACGUCACAGAGGGUGAGAAUCCCGUACGUGGUCGCUAGCCUUCGCCGUGUAAAGCCCCUUCGACGAGUCGAGUUGUUUGGGAAUGCAGCUCUAAAUGGGAGGUAAAUUUCUUCUAAAGCUAAAUACUGGCCAGAGACCGAUAGCGCACAAGUAGGGUGAUCGAAAGAUGAAAAGCACUUUGGAAAGAGAGUCAAACAGCACGUGAAAUUGUUGAAAGGGAAGCGCUUGCAGCCAGACUUGCCUGUAGUUGCUCAUCCGGGCUUUUGCCCGGUGCACUCUUCUGCGGGCAGGCCAGCAUCAGUUUGGGCGGUUGGAUAAAGGUCUCUGUCAUGUACCUCUCUUCGGGGAGGCCUUAUAGGGGAGACGACAUGCAACCAGCCCAGACUGAGGUCCGCGCAUUUGCUAGGAUGCUGGCGUAAUGGCUGU